rnacentral:tRNA from 1 species
CAAAUUAGAGCUUGAAGAAGUAUUUCAUUUACAUUGGAAAGAUUAUUAAUUAAUUUAAUUAAUUUGA